AAUAGAUACCCCAGGUAGUCCACGCCGUAAACGAUGAGUGCUAAGUGUUAGGGGGUUUCCACCCCUUAGUGCUGCAGCUAACGCAUUAAGCACUCCGCCUGGGGAGUACGGUCGCAAGACUGAAACUCAAAGGAAUUGACGGGGGCCCGCACAAGCGGUGGAGCAUGUGGUUUAAUUCGAGGCAACGCGAAGAACCUUACCAGGUCUUGACAUCCCAUUGACCGCUAUGGAGACAUAGCUUUCCCUUCGGGGACAGUGGUGACAGGUGGUGCAUGGUUGUCGUCAGCUCGUGUCGUGAGAUGUUGGGUUAAGUCCCGCAACGAGCGCAACCCUUGUUCUUAGUUGCCAUCAUUUAGUUGGGCACUCUAAGGAGACUGCCGGUGACAAACCGGAGGAAGGUGGGGAUGACGUCAAAUCAUCAUGCCCCUUAUGACCUGGGCUACACACGUGCUACAAUGGACGGUACAAACGGUUGCCAACCCGCGAGGGGGAGCUAAUCCGGAUAAAACCGUUCUCAGUUCGGAUUGUAGGCUGCAACUCGCCUAC
rnacentral:rRNA from 1 species